AUUGAACGCUAGCGGGAUGCUUUACACAUGCAAGUCGAACGGCAGCGCGGACUUCGGUCUGGCGGCGAGUGGCGAACGGGUGAGUAAUGUAUCGGAACGUGCCCAGUAGCGGGGGAUAACUACGCGAAAGCGUAGCUAAUACCGCAUACGCCCUACGGGGGAAAGCAGGGGAUCGUAAGACCUUGCACUAUUGGAGCGGCCGAUAUCGGAUUAGCUAGUUGGUGAGGUAACGGCUCACCAAGGCGACGAUCCGUAGCUGGUUUGAGAGGACGACCAGCCACACUAGGACUGAGACACGGCCCAGACUCCUACGGGAGGCAGCAGUGGGGAAUUUUGGACAAAGGGGGCAACCCUGAUCCAGCCAUCCCGCGUGUGCGAUGAAGGCCUUCGGGUUGUAAAGCACUUUUGGCAGGAAAGAAACGUCGCGGGCUAAUACCCCGUGGAACUGACGGUACCUGCAGAAUAAGCACCGGCUAACUACGUG
rnacentral:rRNA from 1 species